AGAGUUUGAUCCUGGCUCAGAACGAACGCUGGCGGCGUGCCUAACACAUGCAAGUCGAACGGGAUUUGAGAGCUUGCUCUUAAAUUUAGUGGCGCACGGGUGAGUAACGCGUAGAUAAUCUGCCUGAUGAUCUGGGAUAACACUUCGAAAGAGGUGCUAAUACCGGAUAAGCCCACGGAGUCUUUGGAUUCUGCGGGAAAAGGGGGGGACCUUCGGGCCUUCUGUCAUCAGAUGAGUCUGCGUACCAUUAGCUAGUUGGUAGGGUAAUGGCCUACCAAGGCGACGAUGGUUAGCUGGUCUGAGAGGAUGAUCAGCCACACUGGAACUGACACACGGUCCAGACUCCUACGGGAGGCAGCAGUGAGGAAUUUUGCGCAAUGGGGGCAACCCUGACGCAGCAACGCCGCGUGAGUGAUGAAGGCCUUUGGGUCGUAAAACUCUGUCAGCAGGAAAGAAGUUACAUGUGGUUAAUACCCAUGUGUAUUGACGGUACCUGCAAAGGAAGCACCGGCUAACUCCGUGCCAGCAGCCGCGGUAACACGGAGGGUGCAAGCGUUAUUCGGAAUUAUUGGGCGUAAAGCGCGUGUAGGCGGUCUGAUUAGUCUGAUGUGAAAGCCCUGGGCUCAACCCAGGAAGUGCAUUGGAUACUGUCAGACUUGAAUACGGGAGAGGGUAGUGGAAUUCCUAGUGUAGGAGUGAAAUCCGUAGAUAUUAGGAGGAACACCGGUGGCGAAGGCGGCUACCUGGACCGAUAUUGACGCUGAGACGCGAAAGCGUGGGUAGCAAACAGGAUUAGAUACCCUGGUAGUCC
rnacentral:rRNA from 1 species